rnacentral:rRNA from 1 species
GAUGAACGCUGGCGGCGUGCCUAAUACCUGCAAGUCGAGCGAACAGACGAGGAGCUUGCUCUUCUGACGUUAGCGGCGGACGGGUGAGUAACACGUGGAUAACCUACCUAUAAGACUGGGAUAACUUCGGGAAACCGGAGCUAAUACCGGAUAAUAUAUUGAACCGCAUGGUUCCAUAGUGAACGACGGUUUUGCUGUCACUUAUAGAUGGAUCCGCGCCGCAUUAGCUAGUUGGUAAGGUAACGGCUUACCAAGGCGACGAUGCGUAGCCGACCUGAGAGGGUGAUCGGCCACACUGGAACUGAGACACGGUCCAGACUCCUACGGGAGGCAGCAGUAGGGAAUCUUCCGCAAUGGGCGAAAGCCUGACGGAGCAACGCCGCGUGAGUGAUGAAGGUCUUCGGAUCGUAAAACUCUGUUAUUAGGGAAGAACAAAUGUGUAAGUAACUAUGCACGUCUUGACGGUACCUAAUCAGAAAGCCACGGCUAACUACGUG